UCGUAUAUAUUGAUUUGAGAGACAUCCUUUAAUUGUAGACAAAACAGAACUUUAACACUCAACCAACGGCUUAUUAUGUCAUUUAACUAAAUUUAGAUUUGAACGCACAACGCUGAAAUACUUUGCAUUUGAAGCUCUCUGGCUUAAGGCGCUCUCUCGCUCUCAAUACUUUAAUUAUUUCUGUUUUGUCAUGUCAUAACUUUUUAUACCUCAAUCUUUGCUUCCCUAUGCCAUUCAUGUUUAUGUUGUUCCAGUUGUUGUUGUUCAUGAAGUGAGCCGGCGAAAUGCACAAUGAAAACAACAGAAAGCAGCGAGUGCGAUUGAGAGAGUGAGAGAUAGAAAAAGAGAGUGAGCAACAGAAACAGCUGACGCCAUUGAGCAAAACGGCGUCUGUUGAGGGAAAAUUCAAAUUAUUGCAACAGUUAUUUAUAUUGAACAAAGCGAGCCGGACAAGCGAGCGCUCGUCGCUCGGUCGAGUUUUUAUUGUUGUUUGCCUCAUUAUUAAAAAUAAACGAAACGAUUCCGAACGAUACCGAACCUAUCCAAUAAAACGCUUGAUUGAACUGAAGCGUUCCUUUGCAUAUGAAUGCAAUAUCGAAGCAAAGCUUAAUAAAAACAAACGACUAAACUAAAAUCAACACCUAAAACUCAAUAUCAAGAUGCUGUACAAAUAUUGGGAAUCACUGUAAUUGCGAAUGCAGUGAUAUUCUGUGAUAGUUCUGUGAGUAUGUAUUGCGACUUUUGUAGCGCAGUGUAAACGUAAGCGUCACAUGGCUAUUUGUUUUGGUGCUGUCAUUUGUGUAUCUACCUGCCAAAA